CUAUGCGCCUUGCCAGCCCGCUCAGGUGUGCCAGCCGCCGCGGUAAUACGUAGGGUGCAAGCGUUAUCCGGAUUUAUUGGGCGUAAAGGGCUCGUAGGCGGUUCGUCGCGUCCGGUGUGAAAGUCCAUCGCUUAACGGUGGAUCCGCGCCGGGUACGGGCGGGCUUGAGUGCGGUAGGGGAGACUGGAAUUCCCGGUGUAACGGUGGAAUGUGUAGAUAUCGGGAAGAACACCAAUGGCGAAGGCAGGUCUCUGGGCCGUUACUGACGCUGAGAGCGAAAGCGUGGGGCGAACAGG
rnacentral:rRNA from 1 species